rnacentral:misc_RNA from 1 species
UAUUUUUAUCAUUUUUUGUGUCUGAAACCUGCUCUGCGCGAUGUGAUGAAAGCGGGUAAGACAUUAUCAAUGCUGUUCAGGAUACGAAUGGAAUAACAUGCUACGAAAAUGCAUUAAAUGUAAGCCAGGAUUCUAUGGAAUAAAUUGUUCAAAGACAUGUUUGUUACCUUAUUAUGGGGAAGGCUGUCAACAGGAGUGUGUUUGUUCAACAGAAGAAGAAUGUGACAUUUCAAUAGGGUGCCAAAGGAAACCAACAACAUUAACAACAACAACAACGACAACAGAAAAAAUUGCCACAGCAACAGCAUCAAAAACACACCUUAACACGACAGGAAAAUAUAUAAAACGCUCAACAAUAACGUCUGAUCAUAAUGCCAAGAUUUCGUCAGCAGCCAUAGCAAAAUGGAUUGAUACCACCAGAAAUCUUGAUAUCACUAGACUUAGUACCAAGGAAAUAACGCUCUCAGAUUCAUCAUCUGCCUUGUUUAGCCCAAAGAACAUGCUUUUCAUGGCCAUUUUUGUGGUUGGUUUAAUUCUCGUUACACUCUUUAUUGUUUAUUUGUUUAGAAUAAUCUGUAAACGUUGUUCUGCAAAGCUAGACGUCAAUUGUUAUAAUAAAGGCGAAUGUCCGAC